AUACGUAGGGUGCGAGCGUUGUCCGGAAUUACUGGGCGUAAAGAGCUCGUAGGUGGUUUGUCGCGUCGUCUGUGAAAUUCCGGGGCUUAACUCCGGGCGUGCAGGCGAUACGGGCAUAACUUGAGUACUGUAGGGGGGACUGGAAUUCCUGGUGUAGCGGUGAAAUGCGCAGAUAUCAGGAGGAACACCGGUGGCGAAGGCGGGUCUCUGGGCAGUAACUGACGCUGAGGAGCGAAAGCAUGGGUAGCGAACAGGAUUAGAUACCCUGGUAGUCCAUGCCGUAAACGGUGGGCGCUAGGUGUAGGGGUCUUCCACGACUUCUGUGCCGUAGCUAACGCAUUAAGCGCCCCGCCUGGGGAGUACGGCCGCAAGGCUAAAACUCAAAGGAAUUGACGGGG
rnacentral:rRNA from 1 species